CACUGACCAAAGAGAGAGACCAGCUACAGACCAGCUACAACACACUGACCAGAGAGAGAGACCAGCUACAAUCUUUAGUUCAGAAAGUGUGUCCUCAAGGAUGGAAGAAGCUUGGUAGCAGUUGUUACUACGUCUCUACUGACUACAAAUCCUGGGAGGAGAGCAGACAGGACUGCAGAAAUAGAGGAGCACACUUGGUGGUCAUCAACAGCCAAGAGAAACAGACAUUAGUCAAUUGGUUAUGUGGACGAAAGAACUAUGCCUGGAUUGGUCUGACUGACUCUGUUUCUGAGGGGACCUGGAAAUGGGUGGACGACACACCACUGACCACAAAGUAUUGGAACAGUGGAGAUCCUAAUGGUGGAAGAGCUGAGAACUGUGUGUAUUUCUACUCCUGGACAUCAGACAAAGGAGAAUGGUGGGACUAUGACUGUUCCUAUAAAUACAGAUGGAUCUGUGAGAAAUAGGAUUCAUCCUCGGUACUCUCAACUGCUAAAUAGGAUUAUGAUAAGUACUAUCAAUCGUAAACUAUUUUCUGCUUAUUCUAUUUACCUUGUCAAGUACAUACAAUAUAUUACGAUGCAAAUGUAUAAUACAUUAUAAUAAAAAUAUCAAAAAAUAUACAAUAACAAUACAAUGAACUGAUAACAGAAUAACUUUUCUCUCUGUUGUUGUGGAAAUUCACCACUAAGGACUCAAAUUCAAAGGAAAUGAAUCAAUCUUUAUUAUCUCAGUCAUCGAGGUUCACUGACUCAAUACAAGGCUGAUGUUAAUUUUUAUUUGUAUUACUUUUUAGUUUAGUCUACUUGCUAAAUGUUUUUGUGAACUCUUCUUGAACUGCGCUGUUAGUUGAGGGCUUGUAAGUAAGCAUUUCACGGUAAAGUCUACACUUCUUGUAUUCGGAGCAUGUGACUAAUAAAGUUUGAUUUGAUUUGAGACCCUUUAUACUGCAACACAAACAAGUCAUAUAAGCACGGUUGGUUCCUGCAUGAGACUGACUGAUACCACACCAGGCUUCUUACCUUGAAACUGAGAUACUCCUUUGGGUUCCCAGAACAAUGUUCUGGGCGCACUAAGGAAUUGCAUGGACAGUGUAGUGUGGAUUCCUCCCAUGUACAGUCAAUCAGUCACUCGCAUGAAUCCAACCAAGAUGGUUAUUAGAAAAGCAGCAUUAUUCUUUACAUACGAGUGGAUAAACACAGAGAAUGUCACACUCUACUGUAUAAUAGUUGAUUUAACAUGGAGCCUAGAAGGACUCUUCUCUACUGUAUAAUAGUUGAUCUAACACGG